CCUACGGGUGGCAGCAGUGAGGAAUAUUGGUCAAUGGACGAGAGUCUGAACCAGCCAAGUAGCGUGAAGGAUGACUGCCCUAUGGGUUGUAAACUUCUUUUAUAUGGGAAUAAAAUGUUCCACGUGUGGGAUUUUGUAUGUACAAUAUGAAUAAGGAUCGGCUAACUCCGUGCAAGAAGCCGCGGUAAUACGGAGGAUCCGGGCGUUAUCCGGAUUUAUUGGGUUUAAAGGGAGCGUAGGUGGAUUGUUAAGUCAGUUGUGAAAGUUUGCGGCUCAACCGUAAAAUUGCAGUUGAAUCUGGCAGUCUUGAGUACAGUAGAGGUGGGCGGAAGUCGUGGUGUAGCGGUGAAAUGCUUAGAUAUCACGAAGAACUCCGAUUGCGAAGGCAGUUCACUGGACUGCAACUGACACUGAGGCUCGAAAGUGUGGGUAUCAAACAGGAUUAGAUACCCGAGUAGUC
rnacentral:rRNA from 1 species